GGUGAAGCUAAUUAGAUUGAUGCAGAUGAUAAUAAAACAUAUCCAUUGAACAUUUAAUCUAUGUGUCUGGGAGAAGAUAGACUGGUAACACAGCUCCCUUUCUUCACGGGAAAACCCCCAGAAGGUAAACAUUAACUGCAAGAAACCAUAGAUUCUAUAAAGACAGGAAGAAAUGGGAAAACUACAGCCCCACAUUACCAUCCUUCUACUGAGCUAACAUAGGGAGUAUUAAGGAGAAUUCUGCGUGGCUGAACAAAGCUUACAUGGUUACAGAACUAAAUGCAAUGUAUACUACAGCAUAUAAGAAAAGGAUUUUUUUUUUUUUGGAAGUACUUCCUCUGUGUAUGGGAACUCUUAUGUCAGGCCUGAACUGGUGAUUGAGCACCUGGUAAAGGGAGUGGCUGGCCUAGGGAGCACAGGUGCAAACAAUUCACCUAUGCUUCCCACGUGACUGGAAUUGGGAGGACCAGGGUCCACCCCUCCCAGGGCUCAUUUAAGGGCUAGUCUCCCAUGAGAGAGGGUCUUCUGGCUGUGUGCUGUGUUUUGAAGGGGAAUGUUCAGUAGCUGGAGACCCUAUUUUCAGUUAGACGUGUUAAAGGAGCUGAUAUCAAGCAUAUGGUCCUUCCUAGUCUGUGAAGAAGGAGCAGAUGUUCCAAUAUGUCCGGGUUGUAAGUAGAAAGGAUAACAAAAAGCAAUGAAGAAACACUGUUGCAGUAGUCCUUAGACUUUUAAAUCAAAGAAUGUCAAAGAUAAGAGUGAAAGCAAGCACUAGAUGAAAGGUGAGACUGAAUGCACAAAUGCCCUCAACUUACAGAAGGACACAUGUAUGAACACAUGGAUGCAUUCAUAUAAACAAACAUCCUGAAAUAAGCUUAGAGCUAAAUCUAUAAAGAACGUUCAGGAGCUCUUAAAUCUAUCAGAUCUCUCAGAUCUCAGUUAUAUUAUAGGAGCUUCUUCCAUGGGACCUUUUGGUAACUUGAAAGAGAAACAAACAGGCCACCUAAGGUCAAAUAGACUUAUUUGUAUAGACUUAGUAUAGAAAGACCACAGAUAGGAUGUCUCUCAUGUUGCCAGGAUUUACUCAAGGUGUGAAGCUAGCAACCUCUUCCACUUCCUGGGCAUUCACAAUCAGCCCAGCUAACGGUGGGCUUGAAGUCUCAUUUUCUUGCAGGUUCAUUUUUCACUUGAUAAACAUGGCUGGAAGAACCAUUGCAAUAGUUUUAUAUAUCUUUAUUGGAUGACUUUAAAAUUCACCCAAGAAAUUAGAAGUUAUCUUGAAUUUGAAUCUUGUCACAAAGAUUUGUUCUACAAAUGGAUUCAUGAGGACCAUCACCAUAACUCAGGCUUAAUUUUUGACCUUAUUGGAGAAGAAAUGCAAGAUUGACUAGAAAGGAGAAAAGUUCCACCUAAAAGGGAUAAUGACUGUCAUCUGAGAAGGAAGGGGAUUCAAGUUCUGAUUAGACACCACAGGCCUUUCUUUUCUAUGUUAAAUAUCACUGAAUUUGGUUAAUAAAUACUGAGAGACUGGGAGCUGUCUCCAGCAGCAAAUUAUACUUCAAAUUAUCUUGGGUGCCAUAAACAGUGAAAUCACAGAAACAAAGGAAUUUAGGAGUUAGUAGAUCAAAUCCUACUAUAAUUACUUUCAUCCUGGCUAUGAUUUUCCAGAUCUCAAAUUGCCUAGUAAGGUCUACUUUUAUUCUCCUUCCUUCACUCCUAAGACUGCAGACAAUUUUGUUCUGUUCUCUGACCUUUAUGAAUAAUUAAGUUUGCUGUCUACCUGAUGCUAUUGUCUAGUUCUCUAUGCUUCUGCUAUUUUUUAUAAGGCAUACAGAACUCCUUACAGUGUUGCAAAUACACCUUCAUUCAUAAAUCCCUUAUGCAGAAACUGGACUAACUUCAUCUAGAAUAUUACUGUUACCUCCCUAAAUGAAUGUUAACAUUUUUCAUUACUGUUAUACACUGUCCUGAAGCUUUUUGAUCUCAUUCUACCUCCAGAUCCUGCUUCCACUCAAUAUUUUGUGCCAUAUGAUCACAGAGGGCAUAAGCAUUUUCUCUUAUUUUGUGUCCCUUAUCUCAUUAUCUUACACUUCUUUAAUUGCAUAAGGCACUUAUCUUCCUUUGGGCACAUUCUGUCAGAGUCAUCUUGACUUUUUUGCCCUUCUUCUUUCUAUUGAUUGCCCCUUCCUUGCACGUAUCAUCAACAAAUUUCAUUCCCCAGUGUAUGUGCCUCAUGGGUCAAAGCAAUGUUUUUCUAAUACAGAGCAAAAUGGUGCUGUAGAGUAGUCUCCCUUUAGAACAAAUUGUUACUCCUCCUGAAUGUACCUAUCCCCUUUGGUCUCUUAGCCAUUCUUUAAGUAUCUACAUUUUUGGCACAUAUAGUGAUAUUUUAGGAUACAUUUCAAUGCUGUACUAACUAAAAAUUUCUUCUAUUCAGGUUCACUUAUCUUGAUUAGUAUGUGCAUUAUUGCUUAUUAUCUUCAAAACUCCAUUUAGAAACUUAGUCUACAUUCUUCUCCAGCCUUAUUAGAAUUGAAGUCAACUCAAUGGAAAGAGAGAAUACACAAAGUCUGAUUUGAAAUGAGUAACACAGCAAUCUACUGUGUAUGCAUAUGCAUGUUCAGAAUAUGUCAGAUUUAUUACUAUUACAUAUCUAUCUACCAGGGCUGCUCCGAAAGCAACACCUCUUACUUUAUUACUUUGGCCCAUGACAUCAGAGGUGGAUUUUGGUGGUAUGGCAGUAGAGGCUGAACUGUCCCACCAGUACUCCAUUACACAUUGUUGCUGUGUGACAGAUAUCAGCGGAGGGGCGGUGUGAUACCAUGGUGUCUGACAUGAAAGUGCAGAUGAAGCAAAAGGGUGUCACUGAAUUCCUCCAGGUGGAAAAAAUGGCACCUGUUAGCCUUCAUCAAUGCUUACUGAAUGUUUUUGGAGAUCAAACAGUGGAUGUGAGCAUGAUGAGGCAGUGUGUAGUGCACUUCAGCAGUGAUGACAGUGGGUCAUCUCUACUGAUGCAGAUUUUUGUGAAGGCAGCGUGCAGCUCUUAUUCUUAUUUUGCUGGCAAAAAAAAUGCAUAUCUAGUGAUGGUGACUGUGUUGAAAAACAGUGUUUUGUAGCUGAGAAUUUUCUCUAUCAAUUAGUGUUAUUGUUCUCUUUGUAUCUGUUGUAGUUUCUCUGGAAGUAAAUAGGAGGCAUUACUUUCAGAGCAACCUACACAAAUACAUUUAAUUAUAAUAUUACCCAAAUCUUUUUUCAGCUGGCAGGAAUGGCAGGAUCAUUCAUGUUUAUGGUUUUGGCCAAUCAAUUUUUAUUAACUUGGUUGUAAAUGUUCUUUUUUUUUUUUUUACCUUAACAAUUUUGUGUUUUAAAUAUUUUGUUGCAUGUCAUUCAGGAAUUUAGCUUAAUGGACUUUGUGUAGCAGCCUCUUCUUGUUGUACAGUUAUAGAAACAUUCUUUGCAGCUACUCAAAAUUUUUAAGCAUUCAAAAGCUUUUCUCUCAGCAUUUGUCUUUACAGUUUCAAAGAAGCUAUAUAUUUUGCUUUCUUCUCAUACCUCAAUAAAUAAAUUAGAGAACAUGCUAAAAUAUCAUUAUCUUAUUCUGGUACUACACUAAAGUUUAAAACCUAUUAGAAAUUAACAGAGUGGAAUUAACCAUUAUGUGAAUUUUCUUGGGGGGUGAAUAGGGAAAACUCCAUGAAAGGAGCUAUUUUCUUGUAAUAAUUAACAAUCAUUUAAUAAUCUCAUGGGUCCAGGCUCUCAGCUGAUAUAGAUUGCUCUGCUGGUUUAAACCAGUUGAGAAUCUGACACAUCAACUCUUUCCUCUAUUACUUAUUAUUUUACACUGAAACAAAACUGCAUUUUACAUUAGUGAAAAGGGAACUAGAUAGAUAGGAAAAGAACAAAUAUUCAAUUUUUAUAGCUUUUCUUCAGGCUUUUCACAUGAAUCCUUUCUUUCUGUAUCUCUUUUAGAUACUUACUGCCAACAAGUAAUUUAAAGUCUUAAAGUAUUUACAACACUGUGUUGCCAGAGCUCUUGUUGUUACCCUAAUUCUUCUUAAUUUGAAGUGAUUAGAAAUUUAGCCAUUGUCUUAAGAGUGAGUAGAUUUAGGGCAGAGCCAAGUAACUUAGGCAGUAGUGUUAACAAGUAAAUUAAUAAAUAGAAAGUGAUCAUGUUAUAUGCUUAGUUUUAAUGCUCGGUAACUAUGAAAACUUAUGUUCUAUAAGAAGCUUUCCUGAAGCUAUUUUGUUCUUUAUCCAAUUUUCUAAAUGUAGAUGCUAUAAUUUAAAAAAAAAAAAAAAAAAAAAAAAAAGCUACCUUUCAUUACCACUGGUCAUAUGUCAGUACUUUGAGGUCUCUGAAAUCAUGAUGGCAGAAUGAGAGGUCAAUUCAACAGAUGCUGAUUUGAGGCUGUCUAGUGCUUGAAUUUCCAGACUGUCGGUAUUGCAGAUAUCAGCAAAUCUCCAUCAGUCAUAGAAACACUGUUUGUAAGAGCUGAUCCAAGAGGAUUAACAUUUAAGCACUCACAUUGUAAGAUGUGGAAAAGUAGCAUUCAGGGACUUAUCCUCUUUUCCUCUUCCUGUUGCAGUGGAUUGAAUGUAUAAAUUCACAUUGUGCAGAUAAAUGUCAAUGCCACCACCAUUUGAUGUAUGGGGAAAUUAUGUACACUGAAAAACUUAAUGACUUUUUGGAAGCCUUUUCUAAGCAAAAUUACUUAUAAAGUCAUUUACAAUUUAUAAAUAUGUAGGUUCAGUUUCUGUGAGUGUUUGAGGAAGUAUUUUGCCUGCUCUGGCCAGGAAUGCUACAGUGGAAACCCCAACCUUUUCAGCAGACAGUCUUUCCCUGUAAAGGUAAAUUUCUGAGUUAGCCCAUAUCCGAGCCUGCAGUGGGGAAUCUCUACGUAGUGAUUCAAAUCUGAGGAAUACCAAUUGAGGACUGAUAGCUGCCCCCUUUAUAAACAUAGUCAAUAAAGGGAGACCUGUAAAUUAACAUAAAUCCCCUGGUCUAGGAGUGUGUACGGCCACUAACAUAAAUCCUCUGGUCUAUGAGUGUGUAAAGUCACUGGAACUUGCAGCUACCUUCUUUGUAGUAGUGUAUGAAAAGAUGGGAUUUGAGAUCAUUGCUUUUAGCAAUUUCCUCUUCAAAGAGACAGUUUUUUUUGCUCAAGGAAUCUUCUAUAAUUUAUCUUUAUAUCAUAAUUAUAUUCCUGGCUUAAAUGUACAGUCUUAAACUGUAAAUAACAACUGUGAAAUAGAUUUCAGGACUGGAAUGAAUGAGCUGUAAAGCUAAUUCCUGCCACUAUUCUUUGUGCUGUGCAAAAUACUGCUUCUUGAAAGAGACUGCAACCAGAUUUGGGAGGGGGUACUUCUUCAGAGAGACAUCUGUAUGCACUUAAUCCCAAAUCCUUCACACUUUUCUCCUUCUCAGUCUAAGUAGCCAUGUUGGCUUGGCCAUAUUCUGACACCACAUCACCCUUUUGUCCCAGCCACCUUUUGAUUGUAGCACAAGGGAAACCUGCAUGCAUAUCCCAGAAAGCAACUCCAGACAAGUCCCACUGACACCCUGUUUUGAGUCCUUAGAAAACCAGAACCCAUUAGGUACCCUGGCAAGAUGUUAUUGGCACAAAGACACUCUCCUUGGGAGCAGAUGUACUGGUCGGUGAGAAAGAUACUGUUUGACUCAAACAUGGAUGGCAGAUUUCAGCCCAAAGUCAUCAUAUCAAGAUCUAGUUCACAGCAAAUGAGGAAAACCUCUUCACUUAUCAAAACUACUUCAGCAAUAGGGAGAGUAAGACUCCACACAGUUGGCUCCAAAUCAGACUUCUCCAGUGCAUCAUUCUACCCUGGCUGAGUAACAGGUCAGCUGGGUCUGUGGGGUACCAAGCAUGAGGAUCUGCAAAGUGGUCUGUCGACUGCGGAAUGCUCAUUGUGGGGUCGCAUCAUUCAAGGGACCUCUGCUGAAAAGAAAGCUCUUUGGCCACAGCCCACACAGUGUGACUGCUCACUGAAGUAUAAUUUGAUAGACUGAGUAUUCUGUGGAGGGAGAGAGAAAAGAAACACUGUCAGAUCCAUUCUGUGGCUGCACAAUCAUUGCUCACUCUUGCAUCCCUACCUGGGAAAUCAGUCUGAAAGCUCACAAUAAGGGAAAGUAAAUUGAUAAGAAAAGAAUGGACUAUGCCGUUUUACCUGUUUUAUCAUCUAUCUCCCAGGGCUCUACCCAGACUCACUGAACUGUUGAAUAGAAAAUAGUAAGCUCUGCUUGGCAAAGGGCUGACUCAAGUUACAGUAAACUUACUCCUAAAAUCAACAAAUAAUGAGUGAUCAAAUAGCAACGUUGAGUCAGUUUGUUCCCUAGGCUGCUCUCAGGCCUACUUACCUAUGUACUUACCCCUUGAUCAUCUUCUGUUGUGGCAGUCGAGUUCUCUGCACUAAGAGAGAAUUGCAGUGUAUUUUGUCAUUUAUUUUCACAAUCUUUUCUCCUUGCAUUGUAGAGUUUCUUCAGGUAGAUUUGCUUUACCAUAUUAUCAAUGCAAGAUUUUUAAGAAUACAAUAAUGCUUCUUCCCAAGCUGUCAACACGAUAAUACAGGACAAAAAAUAUAUAAAAAAUUGACAUACUCUUAAAUGCAUCAUAGGGCCUCUAAAAUAGCUUAAGCACUUCUUCCCUCUUUCUAUUUAGAAUUUACAGUUUUCAUCUCACAGCUGAAAUAUUCAGACUUUCACAUCUGAUUUCCAGUUUAAGUGGCUGAAUGAUGGGAACAAAAGUAAACAAAAUGCAUGUAUGUUUUGUCUGAUUGAAGUUCAUAUCUGGUUUUCUCAGGAAUUCAGUAGUAUUUAGUAUACAUGAAAAAAAUAAGACAAAAACCAUAUAUGUGAUAAAAGUCAAUUCAGCAACAGACUGAUUUAUAUGGCUACAUCCUCUGACUUUCCUGUUAUUUUAUUUUCCUGGCAAGUCACUUGUCAGAUAUAGUCCAUAACAGUUUAUGUGGCUUUCCAUUGACACACUUAGUAGAUAAGAAGUCAAACUCAAAUUCCUUGGAGGGAAGUGGGGGAAUGGUGUUUUGCUCAGCAGUAAAGAAGAUGGUCUUCAAGACAAAUAAUACAGAGUGGCUUAUGUCCACAUAUCUCAAGCCUAAGUACAUGCACACACUCGUCCCUUGGGUGUACUGGAUGCACCAGCAACUGUAUAUUCAUUAAUCUGAGUCUCAGGCACUACUGCUGGACCUCUCAAACAUAAUUAUUUUUGAGUUACUGGAAGGUGAACAAGCAACAUUCUAUUGCUUGCUCUAUUACAGUCUAUCAUAGAUAUGUUUUGUUUUUUUUAUUAUUAUUAUUAUUUUUUUUUUCUUUUCCUGGAGUUUUCCUGCUCCAGAACAAAACAUAGAGUGCGCAGUUGUCUGAGAGUGCAGAAACUGUAAUAGCUUUGGAGGGUUCUUUGUGCAGCAGGAAACCCAGGCAGAGGAGCAAUCUGCAUCCAUGUCUUGUUAGGUACAGAGCCUGAAACAAGGUGUCAUCCUUUCGUGAGUACUAACAGUUCUAUGUUGAGGAAAGUAGUUGGUUCUGCUGGAAAGGUGUCUGAAAGCACGCUAAAAUUUCCUCCUGGACAUUCAGAGGAUCAUGGCCUGGAGCAUACUGGAAACGGAGAUAUUUAUCACUGUAGAUGCAACUCACCAUUGAUUCUUAAGAAGUAAAUAUUAAUGAAGUUCCAGAAACUGACCAGGACUAACUGAACUUAACUAAGAAAUUGCAGUUUGUGUUGUAAUUAACUGGAACUCCCUCAUUGGUCAAUCCAGAGACAAAAGGAACUUUCAUUGGAAGUUGAUAAAAAUCUUUUCUUGUGUUAAAGAGUUUACUCUUGGAGCUAGCUCUCUAGUGGAAUGGCUCAGACUGGGUAAUAUGAAUCUUAUUAAUGCCUAAACACAAAAUAAUUUUUUGCAGAAGAAAGUUUUAUAGGAGGCCUUCUAUCGAUAUCGGAGAAGAAAUCUUUAUAUGAAGGAAUGAAUAAAAAGUAGGUACUUGGAUGCCUAAGAAAUUUCCUAACAGUUUCCAAUGGUCUCAAAUUAAGGAAAUCAUCCUGGUAUUAUUUUUCAACUGAGUUCAGUUAGCCUUUGAUAAUUUUUCAGUUGCAAUGCUUCCCCUUUCAGUGAAAAGUAAUGUCUAUUAGUAGAAAGAAAUUAUUUUCUGAAAACUGGGACUUUUCCCUUGUUAAUUUACAUAGAUGAAUUAUACUUGUAGAUGCAGUUUAUACAAAUUCCUCAUAAACAACAGAGAAUAUUUACAGGAGAGACAUUACAAACACUCAAGAUGUGGGAAAGGUUUGAAAAUUGUGGUUUGUAGCUUAUUAAAAUCCUGAAAAUCACACAGAAUGGAAAUAUAAAAACCAAGUUUUCUCAUGUCUGGCGACGGCUGAGCUCACAUAGGAACUUUUUCCUAGAGCAAACAUAGUAAAAAAUUAUUCUUAUCUGCCUGGCAAUCUAUUUUCAUACAACUUGUAGCUCUGAGAUCUCUAAUCUCUAUUGAAUUUGAUUAAAACUGGUCAAGAUUUCAAAAAUCUUUAGGCAGGCAGAUAUAGCUGUACACAAAUUAUUGUACGUGCCUAUGUGUAUAUGCACACCCUCACACACAUACAAAUUACAUCCGAGGGGAGAACCAUUACAGCUUGAGCUUUAGAUACUGUCUGAACUGUUGUGCCAAAAUUAUUAUAUUGUAAAUAGUGAAGGAACUUUAUAGUGGAAAUGUUUAAGGGAGAUAAGGGAGAUAGAUCCAUUAGCAAUGUUUAGAAAGCUGCCUGAUCGCUUUUCAUGUUGUUGAAAGUUGAGAUAGUCUUUGGGUACUUGGUGACCUGCUGGCUGGUGUCUGCAACAGACAUUUCUUUGUUUGCACCACUUCAUCAGCUUGCACCACUAGUUGGACUCAUAAGAAGUAUCUGGCCAUGAGAGAAGGAAUGUACUGCUUUGUUUCAGAUGUGUCACACUGACAUUAGAUUGUUACAUUACACUCCACAGUAAGCUGGUAUGAUAGAGUGAAAUAUUUGUAUUGAAGCACUUGUGACAGAAGAAAAAAGGAGUGAUGUAUAAUACAUUAAAAGACAGAUAACCUUUUGACUGUGGCUGUGAAGUAGUAGCAUUACCUCAAUGUCUGGAUGUGACAUAACUAUUUGCUUACACCUUUAUGGUAGGUCAGCUGCUAAACGUCCUUUGGUGAAAUCUCCUCUGUUCUUUGGAAAAAUAUGAGUGCUUCAUUCCGACAGUUCAGGUCUAGGUGACAAAUAAAAUGCACUGUUAUAAUUUUGGAAGAGGAGUUUCCUUGAAUAUUUGCACACAUUGUUCUUUUCUGGAUGUGUAUCACUGAACUGAGCUAGAGUGAAUACAGGUGAAUACAGGUGCAUCGGGGAGUGUUGUGUGUCUAGUUACAGGAGAAUUCCACUGUAUUGUAAAACAUUCCAGUGUCUCUCUAUUACUGCAAAACAUUCUUUCGUUUCCCUUUCCCUUUCCUUUUCUUUUUUUUCCUUUCUCUAUUUCUCUUUUGUAAAUUUUUCUUAACUUUAUCAUUUUGUUCUGUAACCUUACACUUUCAGGUCUUGAUCUAAACUAAACAUCUAGAAAUAAAGAAGGAUCUUCUUCACUAAUUACUACACAUUAAUAUCAGUUGAAUGAGUGCUAAAGGC
ensembl:lncRNA